rnacentral:rRNA from 1 species
AGUUUUGAGGUUGAGUUUAAAAUAGUUCCCUGCUCAAUGAAUUUAAUUUUAAAUAGUUGCGGUAAAUUGACUGUACAAAGGUAGCAUAAUAAUUAGUUUAUUAAUUGUGAACUUGAAUGAAUGGGGGGAUGAAAUAUUAGCUGUCUUAGUUAUAUAGUAUUUGAAUUUUACAUUUGUGUUAGAAGGCAUAAAUUUGUUAAGGGGACGAGAAGACCCUUUAGAAUUUUGUUUAGGAGGAGUAUUGUAGUUAUUUAUUUUUAUCUUAUUCUUUGUUGGGGUGACAAAUAGAUUUAGUAAAUUUUAUUAUUAAUUUGGUAUUAGUUUAUGGUUGAUAUUGAUUUUAUUAUGGUUAAUUAUUGGAUAAAAUUACCUAAGGGAUAACAGCGUUAUUUAUAUUGAGAGUUCUGAUCGAUGUAUAAGUUUGCGACCUCGAUGUUGAAUUAAGAUUAGUGUUUGGGGAAGGUUUUAAAUUUUUUGGUCUGUUCGACCUUUAAAGUCUUACA